GCCUCUGUGGAUGAAUGGGAAAUCACCUCGAGUCUAUGCACAGCAUUGAGCAUGUUUAACUUUCGCGAGGAGACGUGGGUUCGACUCCCACUGGAGGCA